AGUGUGAUUGCUGAAUCAUAUGGUGUUUAUUUUGUAAGAAACUGUCAAGCUGUCUUCCAAAGUUGCUAUAUCAUUUUGCAUUCCCUCCAGCAAU
rnacentral:pre_miRNA from 1 species